rnacentral:rRNA from 1 species
CCUACGGGAGGCAGCAGUGGGGAAUAUUGGACAAUGGGCGAAAGCCUGAUCCAGCCAUGCCGCGUGUGUGAAGAAGGCCUUCGGGUUGUAAAGCACUUUCAGUGGGGAAGAAAGCCUUGGGGCUAAUACCCUCGAGGAAGGACAUCACCCACAGAAGAAGCACCGGCUAACUCCGUGCCAGCAGCCGCGGUAAUACGGAGGGUGCGAGCGUUAAUCGGAAUUACUGGGCGUAAAGCGCGCGUAGGCGGUCUGAUAAGCCGGUUGUGAAAGCCCCGGGCUCAACCUGGGAACGGCAUCCGGAACUGUCAGGCUAGAGGGCAGGAGAGGAAGGUAGAAUUCCCGGUGUAGCGGUGAAAUGCGUAGAGAUCGGGAGGAAUACCAGUGGCGAAGGCGGCCUUCUGGACUGACACUGACGCUGAGGUGCGAAAGCGUGGGUAGCAAACAGGAUUAGAUACCCCUGUAGUC